GUGUGUGUGUGGUGUGUGUGUGUGUGUGUGGUGUGUGUGUGUGUGUGUGGUGUGUGUGUGUGUGUGUGGUGUGUGUGUGUGUGCGGUG